rnacentral:lncRNA from 1 species
UACAGGAAGAAAACUGAAGAGAAAAACAGACUGAGGAUGAGAUGCCUGAGGGAAGUCAGUUAAAUGUGGCUGAAAGCACCAUAAUCCAGGUAACAGAAUACUGCUUGUGGAAGAAAGUGUUUAGAGAGAACACCCAGAGGCAGAAGAAAAAAACAACAUGGGGCUGAAAUGUCUUCUAUCAUCCAAUGAAAGGAAAGGAUAAAACAUACAGUACACAGAGCAGCUUUAUAUGAUUAUAGCAACUUGAGUUCUGAAAGAAAGGAGGCUCAGAAGAGAUUUCCUUUCCUUCCCAGAUAGAGCUUUUGUGAAACAUUGUCCUAAACAAAUAAAAGAUUUUUUGCUCAAAUGAUCUACCUUGCU